UACGAAGGGGGCUAGCGUUGCUCGGAAUCACUGGGCGUAAAGCGCACGUAGGCGGGCCGUUAAGUCGGGGGUGAAAUCCUGGAGCUCAACUCCAGAACUGCCUUCGAUACUGGCGAUCUUGAGUCUGGGAGAGGUGAGUGGAACUCCGAGUGUAGAGGUGAAAUUCGUAGAUAUUCGGAAGAACACCAGUGGCGAAGGCGGCUCACUGGCCCGGUACUGACGCUGAGGUGCGAAAGCGUGGGGAGCGAACAGG
rnacentral:rRNA from 1 species